AUUGAACGCUGGCGGCGUGCCUAAUACAUGCAAGUCGAACGAGUGGCGGCCGGGUGAGUAAUGUCUGGGAAAAUGCCCGAUGGCGGGGGAUAACUCCUGGAAACGGUAGCUAAUACCGCAUACCAUCUGAUGUGCCCAGAUGGGAUGAGCUAGUAGGUGGGGUAAAGGAUCACCUAGGCGACGAUCCUUAGCUGGUCUGAGAGGAUGACCAGCCACACGUGAACGGAGACACGGUCCAGACUCCUACGGGAGGCAGCAGUGGGGAAUAUUGCACAAUGGGCGCAAGCCUGAUGCAGCCAUGCCGCGUGUAUGAAGAAGGCCUUCGGGUUGUAAAGUACUUUCAGCGAGGAGGCGUUACUCGCAGAAGAAGCACCGGCUAACUCCGUGCCAGCAGCCGCGGUAAUAC
rnacentral:rRNA from 1 species